UACGAAGGGUGCAAACGUUGCUCGGAAUUAUUGGGCGUAAAGCGCACGUAGGCGGCUUAGCAAGUCGGAAGUGAAAGCCCUCGGCUCAACCAAGGAAGUGCUUUCGAAACUGCUGAGCUUGAGUACUUAAGAGGAUCGCGGAAUUCCCGGUGUAGAGGUGAAAUGCGUAGAGAUCCGGAGGAACACCAGUGGCGAAGGCGACACGCUGGGCCGUACCUGACACUGAUGCGCGACAGCAUGGGGAGCAAACAGG
rnacentral:rRNA from 1 species